rnacentral:lncRNA from 1 species
UUUUUCAUUCUGCCCCCUCUUUGUGUUAUGACUUAUUGUUUUUUAAGCAAGAAGAAAAGAUUUCCAUUUAAAAAUGUGAAGGAUCAGAGCAUCAGUUCCUUAAAACACAAAACAUUUAGAGAGACCGGAAUCGAUCUAUAA